GGAGGUGUGGUUCAGCAGUAGAGCACCUGCCUAGCAAGCAUGAAGUCUUGAGUUCAAGCCUCAGUACUGCCA
rnacentral:tRNA from 1 species